CUAAGAAUAUUCCGCAAUGGACGAAAGUCUGACGGAGCGACGCCGCGUGGAUGAAGAAGGCCGAAAGGUUGUAAAAUCCUUUUGUUGGGGAAGAAUAACCAUGGGAGGGAAUGCCCGUGGGAUGACAUGAACCGACGAAUAAGUCCCGGCUAACUACGUGCCAGCAGCCGCGGUAAUACGUAGGAGGCGAGCGUUAUCCGGAUUUACUGGGCGUAAAGCGGGUGUAGGCGGUUUGAUAAGUUGGAUGUGAAAGCUCCUGGCUUAACUGGGAGAGGUCGUUCAAAACUAUCAGACUUGAGAGUGGUAGAGGGAGGUGGAAUUCCGCAUGUAGUGGUGAAAUGCGUAGAUAUGCGGAGGAACACCAGUGGCGAAAGCGGCCUCCUGGCCCAUUUCUGACGCUCAGACACGAAAGCUAAGGUAGCAAACG
rnacentral:rRNA from 1 species